UCAGACAGCACUAGGUUCUCAUCUAGAGGCUAAACUUGUGCAAGGUCUGCUUUUAAGCUCACUUAGGGUGAAUGAGUGGCAAAAUUUACAUCUUGCUAUUGUGGGACUAAGGUACUUGCUUUCUAGCUGGCUACUGGCUGGAGGCUGCCCUCAGCUCCUAAAGGCCACCCACAGUUCCCUGUGAAGUGGGCUUCCCCAAGAUGCCACUUAGUCAUCAAGCCAGCCAGAAGAAUCUCUAGAGCAAGUCUUACAGCAAGGCAAGUCUUAUAUAACAUAAUGAAUACACAGGAGUGACAGCCCAUAAAUUUUGUCAUAGUCUAUUGGCUAGAAGCAAGUCACAGGUCCCACCCACACUCAAAGAGAGGGGCCACCCAGGGGCAUGAGCACAAGGAAGUGGGGACCAUGAGAGGUUACCUUAGCAUCUGUUUGCCAUAGACAACAUGAGUAGCCAGACCUGGGUCAUAUACCCACUCAGUUACCAGAAGAAGGGGGAUGGGAAAGCUUUCUGGGCUCUUUCAGUUCACAUGAAUAUGAAAGAGAUUCUGAAAAUGGAAUUGCUGAGAUUUGGCAACCAUUGAGUAUGGCACAAUGCUGCAGGAAAUGGAAGAGAGACAAGUGACUCAGGACUUGAGAGCCAGUGACUGGAAAGAGGGAUGGUGCUAUGACUGAAUCUGGGGACUCAGAACAAGAGAGAAGGAAGAUAAAGAGAUUCAUCUGGAGUUCCCAUAGGAUGUCCACAUGGAAUUGUAUAUCCAGAGCUCAGGACAGAUGUCUGAGACUCAGAUUUCGAUAUCAUCAACCUAGAAGACGAGGACAUGUACAUAUAUGGGAAUGGAUGGGUCACAAACCAGGAAUUCUCCCCAAUAAAUCUCCUGCGUGUCUAAUUUUAUCCUGGCAUCUGUUCUCAGAAGAUCCAAGCUAACACAGGGUUUGAAAGCAUUUGAUAGAGAAGUUAUCUCCACGCACGGACACCAGUACCGCAAGACUCCGCUAAGCCACAUGCAAAGCUGAUGACAUCAUGCCCUGGUAAAUAGCUUUCAGAAGAGCCACAUCUCACUGGGCUUAAGGAGUAAAUUCCUAAGACCAGCACUGCAGGCCCUCUGUGAACCUCGCUUCACUUCUUGCGACAGUCUCUGUAGCCACGCUCCACUUGGACUCAAACAAGCUCUCCGGAGCACAGUGCUUCCUCCUGCCUCUGGGUCUUUGCAAAUGCUGUCCCUCCUGGAAGAAAUGUCUUAACUCUAAGAAAUCCCCAAGAUACAGUUCAUGUGCCUCCUUGCCCAAAAAGCUCUUCCGGAAACCACUCUCAGAUCAGAUCAGAUCAGAUCAGUCGCUCAGUCGUGUCCGACUCUUUGCGACCCCAUGAAUCGCAGCACGCCAGGCCUCCCUGUCCAUCACCAACUCCCGGAGUUCACUCA